rnacentral:rRNA from 1 species
UGCGCAGGCGGGACUGCAAGUUGGAUGUGAAAUACCGAGGCUCAACCUCGGAGCUGCAUCCAAAACUGUAGUUCUUGAGUGAAGUAGAGGUAAGCGGAAUUCCGAGUGUAGCGGUGAAAUGCGUAGAUAUUCGGAGGAACACCAGUGGCGAAGGCGGCUUACUGGGCUUUAACUGACGCUGAGGCACGAAAGCAUGGGGAGCAAACA